GGGUUGUGAGGUUAAGCGACUAAGCGUACACGGUGGAUGCCCUGGCAGUCAGAGGCGAUGAAGGACGUGCUAAUCUGCGAUAAGCGUCGGUAAGGUGAUAUGAACCGUUAUAACCGGCGAUUUCCGAAUGGGGAAACCCAGUGUGUUUCGACACACUAUCAUUAACUGAAUCCAUAGGUUAAUGAGGCGAACCGGGGGAACUGAAACAUCUAAGUACCCCGAGGAAAAGAAAUCAACCGAGAUUCCCCCAGUAGCGGCGAGCGAACGGGGAGCAGCCCAGAGCCUGAAUCAGUGUGUGUGUUAGUGGAAGCGUCUGGAAAGGCGCGCGAUACAGGGUGACAGCCCCGUACACAAAAAUGCACAUAUUGUGAGCUCGAUGAGUAGGGCGGGACACGUGGUAUCCUGUCUGAAUAUGGGGGGACCAUCCUCCAAGGCUAAAUACUCCUGACUGACCGAUAGUGAACCAGUACCGUGAGGGAAAGGCGAAAAGAACCCCGGCGAGGGGAGUGAAAAAGAACCUGAAACCGUGUACGUACAAGCAGUGGGAGCCUCUUUUAUGGGGUGACUGCGUACCUUUUGUAUAAUGGGUCAGCGACUUAUAUUCUGUAGCAAGGUUAACCGAAUAGGGGAGCCGAAGGGAAACCGAGUCUUAACUGGGCGUUAAGUUGCAGGGUAUAGACCCGAAACCCGGUGAUCUAGCCAUGGGCAGGUUGAAGGUUGGGUAACACUAACUGGAGGACCGAACCGACUAAUGUUGAAAAAUUAGCGGAUGACUUGUGGCUGGGGGUGAAAGGCCAAUCAAACCGGGAGAUAGCUGGUUCUCCCCGAAAGCUAUUUAGGUAGCGCCUCGUGAAUUCAUCUCCGGGGGUAGAGCACUGUUUCGGCAAGGGGGUCAUCCCGACUUACCAACCCGAUGCAAACUGCGAAUACCGGAGAAUGUUAUCACGGGAGACACACGGCGGGUGCUAACGUCCGUCGUGAAGAGGGAAACAACCCAGACCGCCAGCUAAGGUCCCAAAGUCAUGGUUAAGUGGGAAACGAUGUGGGAAGGCCCAGACAGCCAGGAUGUUGGCUUAGAAGCAGCCAUCAUUUAAAGAAAGCGUAAUAGCUCACUGGUCGAGUCGGCCUGCGCGGAAGAUGUAACGGGGCUAAACCAUGCACCGAAGCUGCGGCAGCGACACUAUGUGUUGUUGGGUAGGGGAGCGUUCUGUAAGCCUGUGAAGGUGUGCUGUGAGGCAUGCUGGAGGUAUCAGAAGUGCGAAUGCUGACAUAAGUAACGAUAAAGCGGGUGAAAAGCCCGCUCGCCGGAAGACCAAGGGUUCCUGUCCAACGUUAAUCGGGGCAGGGUGAGUCGACCCCUAAGGCGAGGCCGAAAGGCGUAGUCGAUGGGAAACAGGUUAAUAUUCCUGUACUUGGUGUUACUGCGAAGGGGGGACGGAGAAGGCUAUGUUGGCCGGGCGACGGUUGUCCCGGUUUAAGCGUGUAGGCUGGUUUUCCAGGCAAAUCCGGAAAAUCAAGGCUGAGGCGUGAUGACGAGGCACUACGGUGCUGAAGCAACAAAUGCCCUGCUUCCAGGAAAAGCCUCUAAGCAUCAGGUAACAUCAAAUCGUACCCCAAACCGACACAGGUGGUCAGGUAGAGAAUACCAAGGCGCUUGAGAGAACUCGGGUGAAGGAACUAGGCAAAAUGGUGCCGUAACUUCGGGAGAAGGCACGCUGAUAUGUAGGUGAAGUCCCUCGCGGAUGGAGCUGAAAUCAGUCGAAGAUACCAGCUGGCUGCAACUGUUUAUUAAAAACACAGCACUGUGCAAACACGAAAGUGGACGUAUACGGUGUGACGCCUGCCCGGUGCCGGAAGGUUAAUUGAUGGGGUUAGCGCAAGCGAAGCUCUUGAUCGAAGCCCCGGUAAACGGCGGCCGUAACUAUAACGGUCCUAAGGUAGCGAAAUUCCUUGUCGGGUAAGUUCCGACCUGCACGAAUGGCGUAAUGAUGGCCAGGCUGUCUCCACCCGAGACUCAGUGAAAUUGAACUCGCUGUGAAGAUGCAGUGUACCCGCGGCAAGACGGAAAGACCCCGUGAACCUUUACUAUAGCUUGACACUGAACAUUGAGCCUUGAUGUGUAGGAUAGGUGGGAGGCUUAGAAGUGUGGACGCCAGUCUGCAUGGAGCCGACCUUGAAAUACCACCCUUUAAUGUUUGAUGUUCUAACGUGGACCCGUGAUCCGGGUUGCGGACAGUGUCUGGUGGGUAGUUUGACUGGGGCGGUCUCCUCCUAAAGAGUAACGGAGGAGCACGAAGGUUGGCUAAUCCUGGUCGGACAUCAGGAGGUUAGUGCAAUGGCAUAAGCCAGCUUGACUGCGAGCGUGACGGCGCGAGCAGGUGCGAAAGCAGGUCAUAGUGAUCCGGUGGUUCUGAAUGGAAGGGCCAUCGCUCAACGGAUAAAAGGUACUCCGGGGAUAACAGGCUGAUACCGCCCAAGAGUUCAUAUCGACGGCGGUGUUUGGCACCUCGAUGUCGGCUCAUCACAUCCUGGGGCUGAAGUAGGUCCCAAGGGUAUGGCUGUUCGCCAUUUAAAGUGGUACGCGAGCUGGGUUUAGAACGUCGUGAGACAGUUCGGUCCCUAUCUGCCGUGGGCGCUGGAGAAUUGAGGGGGGCUGCUCCUAGUACGAGAGGACCGGAGUGGACGCAUCACUGGUGUUCGGGUUGUCAUGCCAAUGGCACUGCCCGGUAGCUAAAUGCGGAAGAGAUAAGUGCUGAAAGCAUCUAAGCACGAAACUUGCCCCGAGAUGAGUUCUCCCUGACCCUUUAAGGGUCCUGAAGGAACGUUGAAGACGACGACGUUGAUAGGCCGGGUGUGUAAGCGCAGCGAUGCGUUGAGCUAACCGGUACUAAUGAACCGUGAGGCUUAACCUUACAACGCCGAAGCUGUU
rnacentral:rRNA from 1 species